rnacentral:rRNA from 1 species
GACGAACGCUGGCGGCGUGCUUAACACAUGCAAGUCGAACGGAAAGGCCCUGCUUUUGCGGGGUGCUCGAGUGGCGAACGCGUGAGUAACACGUGAGUAACCUGCCCUUGACUUUGGGGUAACUUCAGGAAACUGGGGCUAAUACCGGAUAUGAGCUCCUGCUGCACGGUUGGGGUUGGAAAGUUUCGGCGGUUGGGGAUGGACUCGCGGGUUAUCAGCUUGUUGGUGGGGUAGUGGCUUACCAAGGCUUCGACGGGUAGCCGGCCUGAGAGGGUGACCGGCCCCAUUGGGACUGAGAUACGGCCCAGACUGCUACGGGAGGCAGCAGGGGAGAAUAGUGCGCAAUGGGCGGAAGCCGGAUGCAACAACGCCGCGUGCGGAAUGACGGCCUUCGGGUUGUAAACCGCUUUCGACUGUGACGAAGAGUGAGUGACGGUAAUGGAUAAGAAAGCACCGGCUAACUACGUG